ACUAAAACUACUUGAUCUCAAUACAUUCACCUCACAACACUUGUUGGCGAAAACAUGUGCUAUAGCACCAAAGAAGUUGAGGUCAAAUUAAUGAGGUCAUCGACUUGAAGAUUGAUAAAUAUGGUUCUGUUAUUAUGCAGGAGUUGUGUGAUCUGAGGAGAAACUAUUCUCAUGCAAAUCAGAUAAUUGUUGUAGGAAUUAAAAGGCACAUGAUUCUACUGUUGUUCUGGGAUUUCGUUUCUCACGUUCCUCGAUCCUAAUGUCUACAUGAGAUGUGAGUUCAACGGAUAAAGGAAAUCACAUUACUAAUAGAAUGAUGCCGCAGCAAAGAAAAUGCUCUCAGCCUUGGACGAUCCAUUCACUCGAUUCUUGAAACCAUUACCUUUUCUGAAGCAAGACUAGCUAGCACCCAAGGUGCCCUGGCAGGGGUCAUCAAGGAAACUCAAUAGAUGGCUAUUUCAGUGGAGAUUAUACCAGAGAUGUUGUUUUGAAAGUAUAUGCCAGGAGAGAAAGAUAUACUUGAAACCCGAUGAGGUCAAUGAUGUGGAGAUUUUACCAGAGAUGUUGUUUUCAAGUAAGAUUUUGUGUGGGAUUAACACCAGCACGCCACAUUGUUGCUCCAUGGCAAAGGCAGCGAGGUAAUUUUUCUUUUCGCACUGAUGUAAUUUUCCUUUUCUUUUAGCCCACUCCUAGGUCUCUUCCGUUCAUAUUCUAAUCACGCAUGGUGAGCGGCUGUUUCGAUGACGACUGGCUGGCUGCUGCUGGCUGCUUCUGGCUUGUACGUGUGGAAGGCAGGUGUUCACGGCAGACCAGUGAGCGGCGGCGGGUGGGCGCGACCACAUGGUGGUUGGAAAGUAGGCUUCACGGCGUUCAGCCUCGGCCACCAUCGUACCACGAUCUCGGCCCACCCGGAAAGUCAGAUGAAGAGGUGGUGGAUGACUGAUCCCGGAGAGGAGAACAAGCCUCCAAGCACGUGCUCGUCAACUCCAUGCCGGCCGCUCCAAGCGCCCCUGCUUCGUGUCUUCGAGGCAGGCGCUGAGAUAGCCUUUGCAGCGAGCUGUGGUAUGUGGACUCUGCGGCGAGAUAGGAUUCAGAAUCCUUUUCCAUGAUAGCACCUCCAAGGAAGGAAGGAAGGAGAUUGAGGUCGGCACCUCCUAAAGGCAUGCAUGCUCUCCACCGAGAGAGGGAAGGGCAUCUUUUUCUUGGGUUGCAGUUUCCACCUUGUUGUUGGGUGAGCUGAUUCGUUGUUUGUCAGAGCUCUUGUGGAUAAUCAGACAUGGGGUUCAUGGCAAAAUUAGGACAUACUGAAGGCAGCAAAUUCCGCGUUGGCCGUGCACUUUGAGGAGAAGACAUUGUCUUUGUAUAAGUGC